rnacentral:rRNA from 1 species
GGAUGAACGCUGGCGGCGUGCCUAAUCCAUGCAAGUCGAGCGAACAGACGAGGAGCUUGCUCCUUUGACGUUAGCGGCGGACGGGUGAGUAACACGUAGGUAACCUACCUAUAAGACUGGGAUAACUUCGGGAAACCGGAGCUAAUACCGGAUAAUAUUUCGAACCGCAUGGUUCGAUAGUGAAAGAUGGCUUUGCUAUCACUUAUAGAUGGACCUGCGCCGUAUUAGCUAGUUGGUAAGGUAACGGCUUACCAAGGCAACGAUACGUAGCCGACCUGAGAGGGUGAUCGGCCACACUGGAACUGAGACACGGUCCAGACUCCUACGGGAGGCAGCAGUAGGGAAUCUUCCGCAAUGGGCGAAAGCCUGACGGAGCAACGCCGCGUGAGUGAUGAAGGUCUUCGGAUCGUAAAACUCUGUUAUUAGGGAAGAACAAACGUGUAAGUAACUGUGCACGUCUUGACGGUACCUAAUCAGAAAGCCACGGCUAACUACGUG